GAGAGGGUUAAGCGAGGGAUCAGCUACGGAUCUCACAAGUAUUUAUCGAUGCACCAUUAUUCCUCAGUAAUCGGUGGAAAACAAAGGCAUUUGGCGAGGGUUCAACGAGAGAAAAAACAUUGUCGACUUUUUGCCAUCUGGUACGUGUUAAGCGAGAGAAUGACGACGGAGCAUACGCACAUUAUGUUUUUUUAAUUGACGAUCUCUCGCUGAAAUUGGCGCAAUCCAAUUCCAGUUUCACGAUGUUUGUAUGACGACACCACGGACCAAUGCAGCUUCCGAUUCCAACAGCCUCUAUAUUUUUAAAAUCUAAAAUUGUUCUUCAAUAACUUCCGAUUCAGAAGUAUUAACCGGAAAACCACUUUUCCCUGGUAAAACUAUUGUUCAUCAGUUGGAAUUAAUAACUGAUCUUCUUGGGACACCUUCAACAGAUACCAUUUCUGGAGCAAGUCUUUCUCAAGAAUCCUCCACUCAUCCUGUAUCUUUUUAGCUCAAUUUUUUGUUGGCUGAAACAAAAUCAAUCACAUUCAUGUGUUAUGUGUAUAUCAAAAUAAAACAAAAUUACAAUAAAACAAAGUAACAACAUAUUAAUUAAACUGAGUCCAAUUGAGGGGUUGUUUCUUUUUUGACUUAAUGGGCUAAGCAAUUAAGCAUGACAGUUGUAUAUGGGCUAUAGCUGUUUCUUUUUGGAUUACCAAAAUGUAGUUUAGCAUAAAGUGUUUGGAUUUUGGGUUAUACAAUAAGAAGUCAGAAUCAUAUUACUUUCAGAUGACGGGCCCACACCAAAACCCAAUCCAUAUUCACUUCAAGAACCAUGGAUUUUAGGAUGGAAUCUUGAAAUCCCAUUGGUGAAAGUGUUUUGUGAAUUCUGAAUGAAUUCGAUUCCGUAAUCAUUUGCAACCAAACAAAGGAUUGGAAUGGAAUUGAAUUCCAAUUCAGGACAAAUCCCAUGGAAUCCAAAGAUUAGUUGGCAUAUGAAUGGAACUCAAUUCAAUUGGAAGUCACAAACUCCUUUGACUAAUGAAUUUAAAGAUUCUAUCAGAAAAACCAUGAAAUUUUCAACUCCAACAUUUCUUUAUUGUUAAACAAAUACUAAAAUACCCUUUUAACCCUACAAUUUCACAAGAAAAGUUUCUUGCCAACCAAAUGCAUGAUAGAUUUCAAUUCCAAUUCCAAUUCCAAUUCCUUCAAUACCAACUCUUUAGACAGAUUCCAUUCUAAGUUUCAAGUUCUAAUUCUAUUUCUAAGUAUCCAGAAUCAUGUAUAACUCAAUUUGGCUUGAACCACAACCAUGGAGUAAUUGCCAUUCAAAUGGUGACCCUCCAAAAAGAUUAUGUUUUGCUUCUUUCUUUAUGUUUUUUGUGCAUAUUUAUUAAAUAGGAGGUGGUAGUGAAGAAGUUCCAGUCCUGCUUUACCAGAGUUCAAGAGAGAAGCAACUGUUGAUUCUUUUGUUCUCCUCUAUUUUCUUCUUUCUGCAUCAUGUAUGAUUAUUUUUUAUCCUCUUACACGUCCCUUUUUCACAUUCUACACUUAAGUUUUAUAAUAGUUUGGUCAAAUAUUUAUUUGGUUUUAGAUUUGUUAUAUAUUUUAGUUGUUUGAUUGUUUUAUAAGUUCCUGCAUGCUUGUUUUAUGAAUAAGGAGGUAUAAUUUCACAAGAUUAAAAUUGAAAUGUACCUUUUCGUCAUGGAAUUGUUUUUAUAAGUUUGAUAACUAACUCUAACUUUAGUUUAAGAAUUUAAAAGUUUAAAAGUUGAGUUUAAGAAUUUAAAAGUUUAGUUUAAAAAUUUAAAAGUUUGCAAGGCUUUGGUUACAGAAAAAAAAAAGAAUAAAAAAAUGAUACUUAAUAUUUUUCAUUCUGAUCAAAAUUCAAAUGCAUUGGAUGUUAUUUUGUUUGCCCUUGGUUUGCUUUUCUGUUUUCUGACCGUUUUACCCCUGGACACCAUUGCAUGGAUCUUUGCUCUGUUUUGGUCAGUUCAUAGUAAGCCCUCCUUGUGAUGUGGGAUGACAAAAACCAACUUUUUUACAAACUCAUUUUUUAAAGAAGUCAUACUCUCCAACUUCUCCAACUGUUUCAACUUUAGACUCAUUUCCUCCAAAAACCAACAACUUUUUCUUCAAAACAAUCAUAGAAAUCCCAUAAAUCUAUUUUCACUUUCAAAUUUUCCUCUGCCCGAAUCGCCCUAUUUUUGAUUCACUAAGAGGCUGUUUGAUUUGGUGCUGACCGGGUCCGGUCAGAUGUUUUGGUCUGACUCGGUCCGGUCAGGGUGUUUGAUAUGCUUCUGACCCAGGCCACACGUCUGACUCGGCCCAUAAAAAUAACUGACUCGGUCCUUUAAAAAAAUAUGGCUGACUGAAACUUACCCACAUUUGCCCUUCUCCUUCUAGCCCUACACGUGAUUUCUUCCUUACCCAAGAUACGAUUUCUUCCAGAUCCUCCUCGCACCUUCGCCUUCUUUCCAAUUCCACCUCGCCGGCAACCUCCUCCGACUUCGUCAUCUCCAACGCCGAACCUCCGUCGCAGAUUCACUUUUGCCACUACUUCAGCACUGUUCACGUCAUCACUGCACCAUCGUCUUCAUCAGCUUAUUGAUUAAUUUCAAUGAAGGAUGGCAGCUCCAGGAUAUUGAGAUAACGAAAUUGUAUGAGCAGUACAAGGAAAUAGUUCAAGAAUACAUCACUUUAAUGAAAACGGAAUCACUAUUUAUGUAUUAUGUUCCAUAGAGUCAUUGAUUAAUUUUUGAAGGUCUUAGUAAUUUGAUAGUUGAUAACUUUUUUUUCAAUUCUUUAUAAAUUUACAUUAUUUGUUA